rnacentral:rRNA from 1 species
GAUGAACGCUGGCGGCGUGCCUAAUACAUGCAGGUCGAGCGAACAGACGAGGAGCUUGCUCCUCUGACGUUAGCGGCGGAAGGGUGAGUAACACGUGGAUAACCUCCCUAUAAGACUGGGAUAACUUCGGGAAACCGGAGCUAAUACCGGAUAAUAUAUUGAACCGCAUGGUUCAAUAGUGAAAGACGGUUUUGCUGUCACUUAUAGAUGGAUCCGCGCCGCAUUAGCUAGUUGGUAAGGUAACGGCUUACCAAGGCAACGAUGCGUAGCCGACCUGAGAGGGUGAUCGGCCACACUGGAACUGAGACACGGUCCAGACUCCUACGGGAGGCAGCAGUAGGGAAUCUUCCGCAAUGGGCGAAAGCCUGACGGAGCAACGCCGCGUGAGUGAUGAAGGUCUUCGGAUCGUAAAACGCUGUUAUUAGGGAAGAACAAAUGUGUAAGUAACUAUGCACGUCUUGACGGUACCUAAUCAGAAAGCCACGGCUAACUACGUG